GACGAACGCUGGCGGCGUGCUUAACACAUGCAAGUCGAACGAGACGAUUUAGAAGCUUGCUUUUAUUGAGUCGAGUGGCAAACGGGUGAGUAACGCGUAGACAACCUGCCGCAAAGAUGGGGACAACAGUCCGAAAGGACUGCUAAUACCGAAUGUUGUAUCUCCUCUGCAUGGAAGAGAUAUUAAAGAUGGCCUCUACUUGUAAGCUAUCGCUUUGCGAUGGGUCUGCGUCUGAUUAGCUAGUUGGUGGGUAACGGCCUACCAAGGCGACGAUGCAUAGCCGAGUUGAGAGACUGAUCGGCCACAUUGGGACUGAGACA
rnacentral:rRNA from 1 species